GACGAACGCUGGCGGCGUGCCUAACACAUGCAAGUCGAGCGAUGAAGCCCUUCGGGGUGGAUUAGCGGCGGACGGGUGAGCAACACGUGGGUAACCUGCCUCAAAGAGGGGGAUAGCCUCCCGAAAGGGAGAUUAAUACCGCAUAACAUUAGAUUUUCGCAUGAAGAACUAAUUAAAGGAGUAAUCCGCUUUGAGAUGGACCCGCGGCGCAUUAGCUAGUUGGUGAGGUAAAGGCUCACCAAGGCGACGAUGCGUAGCCGACCUGAGAGGGUGAUCGGCCACAUUGGAACUGAGACACGGUCCAGACUCCUACGGGAGGCAGCAGUGGGGAAUAUUGCACAAUGGGCGAAAGCCUGAUGCAGCAACGCCGCGUGAGUGAUGAAGGCCUUCGGGUUGUAAAGCUCUGUCUUUGGGGACGAUAAUGACGGUACCCAAGGAGGAAGCCACGGCUAACUACGUGCCAGCAGCCGCGGUAAUACGUAGGUGGCGAGCGUUGUCCGGAUUUACUGGGCGUAAAGGAUGCGUAGGUGGAUGUUUAAGUCAGAUGUGAAAUACCCAAGCUUAACUUGGGUGCUGCAUUUGAAACUGGAUAUCUAGAGUGCAGGAGAGGUAAGUGGAAUUCCUAGUGUAGCGGUGAAAUGCGUAGAGAUUAGGAAGAACACCAGUGGCGAAGGCGACUUACUGGACUGUAACUGACACUGAGGCAUGAAAGCGUGGGUAGCAAACAGGAUUAGAUACCCUGGUAGUCCACGCCGUAAACGAUGAGUACUAGGUGUAGGGGGGUCCAACCUUCUGUGCCGCAGUUAACACAAUAAGUACUCCGCCUG
rnacentral:rRNA from 1 species